rnacentral:rRNA from 1 species
CAGGAGGAUAGCCCGGGGAAACUCGGAUUAAUACUCCAUAAGAUUUUGAUUGGCAUCGAUUAAAAUUGAAAGAUUUAUUGGAUAAGGAUAGGCAUGCGUCAGAUUAGUUAGUUGGUAGUGUAACGGACUACCAAGGCGAUGAUCUGUAGGGGGCCUGAGAGGGUGAACCCCCACACUGGUACUGAGACACGGACCAGACUCCUACGGGAGGCAGCAGUGAGGAAUAUUGGACAAUGGAGGGAACUCUGAUCCAGCCAUCCCGCGUGCAGGAAGACGGCCCUAUGGGUUGUAAACUGCUUUUGUAUGGGGAUAAAUCUACCUACGUGUAGGUAGUUGAAGGUACCAUACGAAUAAGCAUCGGCUAACUCCGUGCCAGCAGCCGCGGUAAUACGGAGGAUGCAAGCGUUAUCCGGAUUCAUUGGGUUUAAAGGGUCCGUAGGCGGGCUGAUAAGUCAGUGGUGAAAUUUUGUCGCUCAACGAUAAAACUGCCAUUGAUACUGUUAGUCUUGAGUGAUAUUGAAGUAGCUGGAAUGUGUAGUGUAGCGGUGAAAUGCAUAGAUAUUACACAGAACACCGAUUGCGAAGGCAGGUUACUAAGUAUUAACUGACGCUGAAGGACGAAAGCGUGGGGAGCGAACAGGAUUAGAUACCCUGGUAGU